UACGUAGGGUGCAAGCGUUGUCCGGAAUUAUUGGGCGUAAAGAGCUUGUAGGCGGUUUGUCGCGUCUGCUGUGAAAUUUCGGGGCUCAACCCCGAACUUGCAGUGGGUACGGGCAGACUAGAGUGUGGUAGGGGAGACUGGAAUUCCUGGUGUAGCGGUGAAAUGCGCAGAUAUCAGGAGGAACACCGGUGGCGAAGGCGGCAUUCUGGACCACAACUGACACUGAGGAACGAAAGCCAGGGGAGCAAACGGG
rnacentral:rRNA from 1 species